UAAUACUCGAAUGCGAUUUUAUUAGUUUUAAUGCAUAUAUAUAUCAUAUUCUUAUCAGAACUUUAAAAUUAUACAUGUUAAUAAUAUUAAGAUGAGUUAACUUUUGACAAACCCGUGUGAGAGCACACAUUGGACUUUUCCAAAAGAGGAAGAAGGCUACAUAUAUAGUAGUAGACCAACCCCCAAAACUGGCAAAGCUAGCCAUUAUAGCACUUCACACAUAAUUACCUCUUUGUUUGGUUUUCCCUAGAAAGUUGGAAAUUUUCCACUUUCUCCCACCACUUGUCCAUAUUUAGUACUUGAAACCCUCCAAAGCCAACAACAAACCCUGGUAAAGGGGAGACACAAUAGUGGAUAAGUCCAACACUUGCAUUUCCAAUGAAACAACAUCCAAUAAACUAUAGUAUGCUUCGAAUCUUUCAUUCUUGGGCAUGACAACCCUAAUGAAAGGAGGAAACCAUUCCCAUAUACACCCACUACUUGUGUCUUUUAACUGAAUAAACUAAGUAGUUUAUCUUGUACUUCCAACAUAGCCCAAAAGCUCCCAAAAGUGGAGGAAAUUAUUGGAACCCUUAGCUUGAAGAUUCAAGAUCACAAGCUAGAGUUUAGGGUUUGUAUACCUGCAAACUCAGAGCAUAUCUCAGAGUUGUCCCUAUAUAACAACAGCAUUUUGGUGGUGAUAAAGAUGCUCCCUCAAAUAGAAGUUGUUAGAAAAUUCUGAAGUUUUCACAACUUGUGCAAGAUAGCCCUUCCUUUAUGUAUGUAGGUCAAGGGCUCUAGCUAAUAUAUAUCAUGUUAUGAACUAUUGAUUCAAUGUAUUAAUUCGUUAACAAGUAAUACAACACCGAGUUUGAUGUACAGCUGAUGCAUGUGAGUAUUGUGAUGUAUAGUGUCUAUAGUACCUAGCUACCUGUGCAUAGCGUGUUUAGUAUAUGUAGACUGACAAAGGCUAACAAAUAACAAUACUACUGGACAAUGAGACUAACAAUUUGGGAUGAGUUCAUCUAGUACCAGUACAAAUGCAAUGGUGGACAAAAGGCUACCCAUUUUGAGCCCAAAUCCGUACCUGUAUUCCAUCCCAAACCGGUAGAACCGCUAGCUAGUCAUAAACUUCACCGGUCGGAAACUUAGCUUGUCGUCACCUUUACCCACGAGAGACAGUAUGAGUAUACCCAUAUCUCCGCUACCCGUUAUCCACGAGCCGGUCAUAUUGAUAUCUAAUACAAAAGAAGAAAAUAAACAACAUAUAUAGAUGGUGGAUGAAGGGAAGGAGCUCCCUUCAGUCCAAGCACAGAAGGAGAGGGAUAGUAGAAAUAUCUCCCGCAUCAUUCACACUAUCACUCAUAGUAGAAAUAUAUGCCUUGUUUGUAGUACUACUAAUGGGGGAUAGAGUGAAUGAGUCGGCAGCUACUUCCAUUUUCCCAUCCAUGUUUGAACUCAAGGAAAGCCCUCUCCUUCCACAGAGCCUUUAUAAUCGACAACAGAUCCAGAAUAAUUUAAUGCACCAGGUAACAUAUAGUGUUCAAAGAUAGUCAAAGGCACAGGUAUAGCAAAGUAUAAGAUCCAAACAUCAAGCAUCACCAUGAGUCUAACUCUAUGCAUAUAUCACUAUUGAUGGUGAAUCCAGAAUAAUUUUGUUGCACUAACUAUGACUUGAUUUGAAAGGUAAAAAGUUAAACAGGAAUUUAGAUGGUAAAGGAAAAUUUUACUUCCAAAAACAUUGUUGGGUCCGACUUAAUUUUUUCUCACAAGGAAAAUAUUCAAAAUUCCGUCAAACUUUUCACAUACCAAAUUAAACCUACACGUAUACAGACAUGCUUGGCACAUCCCGACUCGAUGCACAAAAUCAUGAUAUAUGUGAUCACAAAUUAGGUCGAGAUGUGUCAGCAUCGAUCAAAGAAUAAUUCAAUACACUAAGUCGGAUUAUAUAAAAAAUUGGAUUCCAUUAGUUAGGUCUCUAAAUAAGGGAAAAAAACAUAUUAUCAGAGUUUUAGAUUCAAAAAGCGAGUAGGCGGAGGCUUCUCUAGCAUUGAUCUAAACCCUAAUAAACCAUAUGAAUCUUGUUCUUAUGAGAUGAUAACAGAAUAUAUACAUAGAGAGAAAGGGCAAACUCAAGAUAUAACAGUGUCAGAGACUUAUGAGAAAGGGAGAAACUUUAGAAGCUACAAUACUAUAAAACCAGAGCCUUUUACAAUCUGGGUUGGUGUAUAUUUAUUGCUGCAGAUCCAUCAGAAGCCGUAGCAAUCAUGCAUGUGCAGUUGAAUAAAAAUGGUGAAAAAGCUUAAUAGAAACAACGCAGCAGCAAAAACCUUGAACACAGCUUUGGAUUAAGCAGACCAAACAAAUCAAUGGUGAAAAGCAUGAACAGAAACAGUUAACACAGCAGCAAAAACCUUGAAAACAACAGAUUUGAGGAAUUACUAUACCAAAAGAUACCAUCUUUCAGCUAGAAAAAAUCAAACUAAUGACUACCCUGUUUAUAUAACUAGACUCUCUCUCUUUUGAAGAGGAAGAAGAAGAAGAAAGACUGAGUCUUUCUCAGUCUACUGCUGUUCAUAUCUAUCUGUGCCGGGUGGGGGAUGGUUGGUUCAUAGUUGGUGGCUCUAAAAUGACUCUUUUGACCAUAUACCCACGUUUCUAAAUGUGUCUACUGCAGAAAAACCAGACCUUUUUCU
rnacentral:lncRNA from 1 species